rnacentral:lncRNA from 1 species
CUUUCUCUUUUUAUUCAUUUUUUUAGGAGGAGUAUGUAUUGAUAUGUAUUGACAUGUAUUGACAUCCUUCUAUUUUUUUCAUUCAUUUUUUUCUUUUCUAUUUUCUUUUGCUAUUUUUCUUUUCCUUUUAUGCCAACUUCAGAAAUAUUACAAACAUAAUUAUUCAACCCCACACAACUCCAAACAGGACUCUUUCAACCCUUUGAAUAGGGUGAUAACAUUGUUUUUCACUUCUCGGCUUGUAAUGAGUUUUAAACAAAAAAAAAGGAUAAUAGGCUCAAGGGAGUUUCAAAGAAGGGAUGAAAUUAUUUCAGGGUUGACUUUUUGGCUAACUGGCAAAAAAAACAAAAAACUGCAUUUAUCAUAUCAGUGUGCACAAGUAAACAACAGCAUCAACAAGAGUCAAUUCAAGUUCUAGAGACUAACAGACAUGAGUGAAUCACACAAGAAAGAAAGAGAUGAAUU